GACAGAGGCCCCAAGCGUUAGGCGGAAUCACUGGGCUUAAAGCAUGUGUAGGCGGAUCGUUAAGUGUCUUGUGAAAUCCCACGGCUCACCCGUGGAACUGCUGGGCAUACUGGCGAUCUUGGGCCAACUAGGGGCAGCCGGAACAAGCGGUGGAGCGGUGAAAUGCGUAGAUAUCGCUUGGAACGCCGAAGGUGAAAACAGGCUGCUGGGGUUGCGCCGACGCUGAGACACGAAAGCCAGGGGAGCAAACGGG
rnacentral:rRNA from 1 species